AUGGUGCCACAACCCUUUUUUUUUGUUUUUAUUUUUGUUGCACAUGAUUUCAAAUCAAAUGGUGUUUUUAACAUGCUAUUUCUAAGCUCUGCUUGUGACUGGGUCUCCCCUUUAUACAUACAAAUCUUGUGCUGUUUUUCUCCUCUCUCUUUCUCCUUCUCCUCUUCUCCCCAGGUUUUUGUCUUUCUGCCGAUGUUUACUUCAGUCCUUCUUUCACAAAAUCGAAUACUCCAGGUUUUGCUUAACCUCAGAUGACUGGUACAUGGAGAAAGCAAAUUUUGGGCUAACUAAGAUGUGGUAAACCCAGACUUGGCCCAGUCACCGAAAGUGUAACUGAAUGAUCUUUAUUUUAAGUGUUCAAAUGAAGAGGAAAGAGCACCUUGCUUAUCUAUAUAUAGAUAAGAUUUCAAAGAGAGGAUACCUUUAAACAGACAUUCCUUCAAAUAAUGAAUUGUUCUCUGUAUGGCUGGAUAACCAUGGAUGAACAAACCAAGCCGAGAAUUGUCUGUGAUACUUUUGCACAGACAGUUCUUGGCUUGGUUUGUUCAUCCAUGGUUACCCAGCCAUACAGAGAACAAUUCUUUAUUUGAAAGGAAUGUCGGAGGCUAUUCCUCUGUUUAAAGG
rnacentral:lncRNA from 1 species